UACAGAGGUCCCAAGCGUUGUUCGGAUUCACUGGGCGUAAAGGGUGCGCAGGUGGGUUUGCAAGUUCGAUGUGAAAGCCCCGGGCUUAACCCGGGAAUGGCAUUGGAUACUGCAGAUCUGGAGGAUCGGAGGGGAGACUGGAAUUCCUGGUGUAGCGGUGAAAUGCGCAGAUAUCAGGAGGAACACCAAUGGCGAAGGCAGCUCGCUGGGACGGUACUGACGCUGAGGCGCGAAAGCGUGGGGAGCAAACAGG
rnacentral:rRNA from 1 species